AUUGAACGCUGGCGGCAGGCCUAACACAUGCAAGUCGAACGAGUGGCGGCCGGGUGAGUAAUGUCUGGGAAUCUGCCCGAUGGAGGGGGAUCACUACUGGAAACGGUAGCUAAUACCGCAUUCCACCGGAUGUUCCCAGAUGUGAUGAGCUAGUGGGUGGGGUAACCGCUCAGCUAGGCGACGCCCCCUAGGUGGUCUGAGAGGAUGACCAGCCAGAAUGGAACGGAGACACGGUCCAGAUGCCUACGGGAGGCGGCAGUGGGGAAUAUUGGACAAUGGGCGCAAGCCUGAUGCAGCCAUGCCGCGUGUAUGAAGAAGGCCUUCGGGUUGUAAAGUACUUUCAGCGAGGAGGCGUUACUCGCAGAAGAAGCACCGGCUAACUCCGUGCCAGCAGCCGCGGUAAUUC
rnacentral:rRNA from 1 species